AUUGAACGCUGGCGGCAGGCCUAACACAUGCAAGUCGAGCGGAAACGAUCCUAGCUUGCUAGGAGGCGUCGAGCGGCGGACGGGUGAGUAACGCGUGAGAAUCUACCCAUGAGUGGGGGACAACCCGGGGAAACUCGGGCUAAUACCGCAUACGCCCUACGGGGUAAAGCAGGGGACCUUCGGGCCUUGCGCUGAUGGAUGAGCUCGCGUCGGAUUAGCUUGUUGGUGAGGUAAAGGCUCACCAAGGCGACGAUCCGUAGCUGGUCUGAGAGGAUGAUCAGCCACACCGGGACUGAGACACGGCCCGGACUCCUACGGGAGGCAGCAGUGGGGAAUCUUGGACAAUGGGGGCGAACCCUGAUCCAGCCAUGCCACGUGUGUGAAGAAGGCCUUCGGGUUGUAAAGCACUUUCAGCAGGGAGGAAGGCUUACCCCUAAUACGGGUGAGUACUUGACGUUACCUGCAGAAGAAGCACCGGCUAAUUUCGUG
rnacentral:rRNA from 1 species